ensembl:lncRNA LINC02498 long intergenic non-protein coding RNA 2498
GUUCUCUGUGAGUCAGACUUUGGUAGCCUCCUUACUUGCUCCACUUGCUUCAGAGAGAGAAGUGCGGGUUUGCGGUUUAGUGAAGGAGCAAGGCUCAUGUGAAUAGAAGAAUCCAAGGUAGAGCAGGAAGAGAAAUCCAGCUAGAGAAAGAGGUGGAAGUCAAAAUAAGUAGACUCUUAUUUUAAAUUUUUAAUGGCUUCUUGGUGGCUUCAAGAUAAAAGAUAGACAAUGAGGAGCUUUGUGUUUGGGAAAAGAAUAAAAGUCAACUGUAGCAAAACCUCUCAGAAGUAGGAUUUAUAAACAGUUCUCAAAGGAUGCACAUGAAAAUGUAAUUUCUUGGGAAAGUGGCAAACAGAAAAGAAUCAAACCGCAGUUGUGUGUGGCAAGGAUAAAUAUGCAACGCACCAUCAAUAGGAUUUGUUGGGUGAAUAAAAAAGCCUUUUAGCCAACAAUAUGUAAGCAGAAGAAUGGAGCAGGAGUUAGAGAGAACCCUCAAGCAAUAAUGGAGGCCACUGGAGAGGCAAGACUGCCAAAGGCUAAGUUAUUGACCCAGUAUUUUUAAAACUGCCUCCGAAAAGAAGCCUGAACGAAAGAAAAUAAUUUGUGCUAUUAGAAUGUAUUUUUCCUUUGUGUUCCUAUCUACUUCCUUCACAAGCUAUUUUUGAUUGAUUUUUCUGAGAACAAAAUAAAUAUCCACAGUGAGUCACAAAUGUAAAUGUAUUGAGUGCCCAAUGUAUGGAGCCCUUUCUCCAAGACCUCACUGCCGUAAAUACAAAUAUAACUGAGAACUGGUGAUUUGAAGAUGAUUCUUGGGAUAGCGGGCUAGGCGGCACUUCACACUGGCUUUUGGGGCCACAUAGGGGUGUAAUCAUGUUAUCACCCUGCACAACCCCAGAGGGUACCAUACACAACCCAUUUGACCAAACAUGGCAGUCCUGAAAGGAAUGAUGAUUGAAAGCCAAGACUGAGCUUUGGCAAGGAAACCACCUCUGAAUUACCAACUCAUUGUCUAUAAUGUAAUGAUAGCAUCUACCUCUUAGUAAUUUUGUGAACAUUAAAUGAAUAAAGCAUGACAAAAG